rnacentral:snRNA from 1 species
GUGCUUGCUUCAGCAGCACAUAUACUAAAAUUGGAACAACACAGAGAAGAUUAGCAUGGCCACUGCACAAAGAUGACAUGCAAAUCUGAAAGCAUUCCAUGUUUUUU